AUUGAACGCUGGCGGAAUGCUUUACACAUGCAAGUCGAACGGCAGCACGGGUGCUUGCACCUGGUGGCGAGUGGCGAACGGGUGAGUAAUGCGUCGGAACGUACCGAGUAAUGGGGGAUAACGCAGCGAAAGUUGUGCUAAUACCGCAUACGCCCUGAGGGGGAAAGUGGGGGACCGCAAGGCCUCACGUUAUUCGAGCGGCCGACGUCUGAUUAGCUAGUUGGUGGGGUAAAGGCCUACCAAGGCGACGAUCAGUAGCGGGUCUGAGAGGAUGAUCCGCCACACUGGGACUGAGACACGGCCCAGACUCCUACGGGUGGCUG
rnacentral:rRNA from 1 species